AUGCGUGUGUGUGUGUGUGUGUGUGUAGGUGACAAGACAUCAUAGCAUCAGGUUGUUUGCAGCCCCACAUCUUUGUAUGUGGAUUAUCUCGAUGUUAUCAGAUUCCUGAAGUCCCACUAGUUCAUGUCUUCCUGCACCCUCAUGAUUGUGACCCAACAGCUCGAUCUUUGUCAUCUAGCAGAUGAAAAAUUGGUGUCCAGUAGUUUUAAUAUACAUAGAUCUAAUUCCUG